GUGGGGAAUCUUGCGCAAUGGGCGAAAGCCUGACGCAGCCAUGCCGCGUGAAUGAUGAAGGUCUUAGGAUUGUAAAAUUCUUUCACCGGGGACGAUAAUGACGGUACCCGGAGAAGAAGCUCCGGCUAACUUCGUGCCAGCAGCCGCGGUAAUACGAAGGGGGCUAGCGUUGCUCGGAAUUACUGGGCGUAAAGGGCGCGUAGGCGGACAGCUUAGUCAGAGGUGAAAGCCCAGGGCUCAACCUUGGAAUUGCCUUUGAUACUGGCUGUCUUGAGUGUGGGAGAGGUGAGUGGAACUCCGAGUGUAGAGGUGAAAUUCGUAGAUAUUCGGAAGAACACCAGUGGCGAAGGCGACUCACUGGCCCAAUACUGACGCUGAGGCGCGAAAGCGUGGGGAGCAAACAGGAUUAGAUACCCGGUAGUCC
rnacentral:rRNA from 1 species